GCACAAGCGGUGGAGCAUGUGGUUUAAUUCGACGCAACGCGAAGAACCUUACCUGGGCUCGAAAUGUAGUGGACCGGAGUAGAAAUAUUCUUUCCUAGCAAUAGGCUGCUAUAUAGGUGCUGCAUGGCUGUCGUCAGCUCGUGUCGUGAGAUGUUGGGUUAAGUCCCGCAACGAGCGCAACCCUUAUUACCAGUUGCUACCAUUUAGUUGAGCACUCUGGUGAGACCGCCUCGGAUAACGGGGAGGAAGGCGGGGAUGACGUCAAGUCCUCAUGGCCUUUAUGUCCAGGGCUACACACGUGCUACAAUGGUCGGUACAAACCGUCGCAAACCCGCGAGGGGGAGCUAAUCGGAAAAAGCCGACCUCAGUUCGGAUUGGAGUCUGCAACUCGACUCCAUGAAGCUGGAAUCGCUAGUAAUCGCGGAUCAGAACGCCGCGGUGAAUACGUUCCCGGGC
rnacentral:rRNA from 1 species